rnacentral:rRNA from 1 species
GACGAACGCUGGCGGCGUGCUUAACACAUGCAAGUCGAACGGAAAGGCCCUGCUUUUGUGGGGUGCUCGAGUGGCGAACGGGUGAGUAACACGUGAGUAACCUGCCCUUGACUUUGGGAUAACUUCAGGAAACUGGGGCUAAUACCGGAUAGGAGCUCCUGCUGCAUGGUGGGGGUUGGAAAGUUUCGGCGGUUGGGGAUGGACUCGCGGCUUAUCAGCUUGUUGGUGGGGUAGUGGCUUACCAAGGCUUUGACGGGUAGCCGGCCUGAGAGGGUGACCGGCCACAUUGGGACUGAGAUACGGCCCAGACUCCUACGGGAGGCAGCAGUGGGGAAUAUUGCACAAUGGGCGGAAGUCUGAUGCAGCAACGCCGCGUGCGGGAUGACGGCCUUCGGGUUGUAAACCGCUUUCGCCUGUGACGAAGCGUGAGUGACGGUAAUGGGUAAAGAAGCACCGGCUAACUACG